rnacentral:rRNA from 15 species
GUGGAUGCCUUGGCAUGCUGAGCCGAUGAAGGACGUGAGAGACUGCGUUAUGCCUCGGGGAGUUGUCAACUAAGCGUUGAUCCGAGGAUGUCCGAAUGGGGAAACCCGGCCAUCGUUAUGGGUGGUCACCCUGCCAUGAAUUCAUAGUGGUAGUGGAGGUUUACGCGGGGAAGUGAAACAUCUCAGUACCCGCAGGAAGAGAAAAUAAAUAAUGAUUCCGCUAGUAGUGGCGAACGAACGUGGAUCAGGCUAAACCGUGUGUGUGUGAUACCUGACAGGGGUUGCAUGUGCGGUGUUGUGGGUUGCGAUGUGGCAGGGCUGUUGACUUGCCGCGUGUGGUGUGUGUUGAGCGGAAGUGGUUUGGGAUGGCCUACCGGAGUGGGUGAGAGUCCCGUACGUUAAAAGCACAUGUCAUGCGUUGUUGUAUACCCGAGUAGCAGCGGGCUCGUGAAAUCUGCUGUGAAUCUGCCGGGACCACCCGGUAAGCCUAAAUACUCAGUGUGACCGAUAGCGGAUAGUACCGUGAGGGAAUGGUGAAAAGUACCCCGGGAGGGGAGUGAAAUAGUACCUGAAACCAUGUGCUUACAAUCCGUCAGAGCACCUCUUGUGUGUGAUGGCGUGCCUUUUGAAGAAUGAGCCUGCGAGUCAGCGGCAUGUCGCGAGGUUAACCCGUGUGGGGUAGUCGUAGCGAAAGCGAAUCCUAACUAGGGUGUUUUUUAGUGGCAUGUCCUGGACCCGAAGCGGAGUGAUCUACCCAUGGCCAGUGUGAAGCAAGGGUAAGACUUUGUGGAGGCGCGAACCCACUUAGGUUAAAAACUGAGGGGAUGAGUUGUGGGUAGGGGUGAAAGGCCAA